AUUGAACGCUGGCGGCAUGCCUUACACAUGCAAGUCGAACGGUAACAGGUCUUCGGAUGCUGACGAGUGGCGAACGGGUGAGUAAUACAUCGGAACGUGCCCAGACGUGGGGGAUAACGAGGCGAAAGCUUUGCUAAUACCGCAUACGAUCUAAGGAUGAAAGCAGGGGACCGCAAGGCCUUGCGCGUUUGGAGCGGCCGAUGGCAGAUUAGGUAGUUGGUGGGAUAAAAGCUUACCAAGCCGACGAUCUGUAGCUGGUCUGAGAGGACGACCAGCCACACUGGGACUGAGACACGGCCCAGACUCCUACGGGAGGCAGCAGUGGGGAAUUUUGGACAAUGGGCGAAAGCCUGAUCCAGCGAUGCCGCGUGCAGGAUGAAGGCCUUCGGGUUGUAAACUGCUUUUGUACGGAACGAAAAGGCUCUGGCUAAUACCUGGGGCACAUGACGGUACCGUAAGAAUAAGCACCGGCUAACUACGUG
rnacentral:rRNA from 1 species